GCCGGGAUGGUGGAAUUGGUAGACACGCAGGACUUAAAAUCCUGUGGCAGUUAUAUGCCGUGUGGGUUCGACCCCCACUCCUGGUACAA
rnacentral:tRNA from 1 species